rnacentral:rRNA from 1 species
UACAGAGACUGCAAGCGUUAUUCGGAUUCACUGGGCGUAAAGGGUGCGCAGGCGGCCGUGUGUGUCAGGUGUGAAAGCCCGGAGCUUAACUCCGGAAUUGCGCCUGAAACUACAUGGCUAGAGCAUUGGAGAGGGUAGCGGAAUUCACGGUGUAGCAGUGAAAUGCGUAGAUAUCUGGAGGAACACCGGUGGCGAAGGCGGCAUCCUGGACCGAUAUUGACGCUGAUGCGCGAAAGCCAGGGGAGCAAACGGG